UACGGAGGGUGCAAGCGUUAUCCGGAUUUACUGGGAUUAAAGGGUGCGUAGGUGGGCAGGUAAGUCAGAGGUGAAAUCCCCGGGCUUAACCCGGGAACUGCCAUUGAUACUAUCUGUCUUGAAUAUCCUGGAGGUGAGCGGAAUAUGUCAUGUAGCGGUGAAAUGCUUAGAUAUGACAUAGAACACCCAUUGCGAAGGCAGCUCACUACGGGAUCAUUGACACUGAGGCACGAAAGCGUGGGGAUCAAACAGG
rnacentral:rRNA from 1 species